rnacentral:rRNA from 2 species
GUCAAACCGGUGACUGCGUGGCGUUGCGGGCUCGGUCCGUCGGUGCUCCCACUAAAAGCAUCGGCGUGUCAACCGGCCCGUUCGUCCCCUCCUUCUGGAUUCCCGUUCCUGCUAUUGAGUUAGUGGGGACGUCACAGGGAGCUCAUCGUCGUCAGCAAUGACGGCGCGGUGAGUUCCUGGGGCCCAGAUCGUUUACCGUGAAAAAAUUAGAGUGUUCAAAGCAGGCAGAUCCAAUUUUCUGCCACCGAAUACAUUAGCAUGGGAUAAUGGAAUAGGACCCUGUCCUCCUAUUUUCAGUUGGUUUGAAGACCAGGGUAAUGAUUAAUAGGGAUAGUUGGGGGGCAUUAAUAUUUAAUUGUCAGAGGUGAAAUUCUUGGAUUUAUGAAAGAUUAACUUCUGCGAAAGCAUCUGCCAAGGAUGUUUUCAUUAAUCAAGAACGAAAGUUAGGGG